rnacentral:rRNA from 2 species
GGGGUAAACCUGCGAAACUCGAAUGAACGAACGGAGAGAUUCAUCGUCAUUCCGCGGCGUACGCGUGCGCGUUGCGAUGCCCCCGACCUCGGUCGGGUUGGCACGACGCGUACUCGUCGACGUCCGUGGACGGCGUGCACUUCUCUCUCAGUAAACAUUACAUCGCGACCCGUUCGAUGUCGGUCUAAGCGCCGCCCGGGAGCCCCGGCGUCACCCUUCACGGGGUUGGCGACGGGACCGUCGGUGGACGCCGACCGGCCGUCGGACGGUAUGUUAUAUGAAACGUGCACGCGUUUACGACGCGUCCGGCCCGACGCAAGUCAACGUCGUAUCCGACGUUCCGCCAGUGCGCGGACGUUGGUGCGGCGCGUCUGCUGUCGCCGCCGUGUUGUCUCGGACUGUGCGCGUCUCCGUCUGCGAUGAUUCAGUUUCGGGCACUCGCAGGACCCGUCUUGAAACACGGACCAAGGAGUCUAGCAUGUAUGCGAGUCAUUGAGAUAUUAUCAACAAACUGAAAGGCGUAACGAAAGUGAAGGCGUGCGCUAGUCGCGCGCUCAGGGAGGAUGGAGCGUCGAUCUAGGUCGAUCUCUCGCACUCCCGAGGCGUCUCGUUUCCAAUCCGUGAAUGCAGGCGCGCUC